rnacentral:rRNA from 1 species
GUUGAUCAUGGCUCAGGAUGAACGCUAGCUACAGGCUUAACACAUGCAAGUCGAGGGGCAGCAGGGCAAUAGCUUGCUAUUGUGCUGGCGACCGGCGCACGGGUGAGUAACGCGUAUCCAACCUACCCCGCGGUCAGGGACAGCCCGGCGAAAGUCGGAUUAAUACCUGAUGCAGUCAGAAGAGGGCAUCUGAUUUUGACGAAAGAUUGAUCGCCUCGGGAUGGGGAUGCGUAGGAUUAGGCAGGCGGCGGGGUAACGGCCCACCGCGCCGACGAUCCUUAGGGGUUCUGAGAGGAAGGUCCCCCACACUGGUACUGAGACACGGACCAGACUCCUACGGGAGGCAGCAGUGAGGAAUAUUGGUCAAUGGGCGGUAGCCUGAACCAGCCAAGUAGCGUGCAGGACGACGGCCCUAUGGGUUGUAAACUGCUUUUAUGCGGGGAUAAAGUGCGGCACGUGUGCCGUUUUGUAGGUACCGCAUGAAUAAGGACCGGCUAAUUCCGUGCCAGCCGCCGC